UCCCCGUUAACCGGGGCAGUCCCCCUAGAGUUCCCGGCAUGACCCGUUGGCAACUAAGGGCGAGGGUUGCGCUCGUUGCGGGACUUAACCCAACACCUCACGGCACGAGCUGACGACAGCCAUGCAGCACCUGUGCAGGGACUCCGAAGAGGGGCCGUGGUUUCUCACGGCUUUCCCCUGCAUGUCAAGCCUAGGUAAGGUUCUUCGCGUUGCGUCGAAUUAAACCACAUGCUCCACCGCUUGUGCGGGCCCCCGUCAAUUCCUUUGAGUUUCAGCCUUGCGGCCGUACUCCCCAGGCGGGGUGCUUAAUGCGUUAGCUUCGGCACGGACGGGGUCGAUACCGCCCACACCUAGCACCCAACGUUUACGGCUAGGACUAC
rnacentral:misc_RNA from 1 species